CAAUGGGAGCAGUAGCAGGGACGCUUCACGGUAAAGUACGUCUGAUCACUCCGCAAAGAUGUGUUUAAGCAAGCCGUGAUACGCAGUGGAAGAAGGAUACUCUUGUGGCAAGCUGUAGAUGGCAUCGCAGGGUCAAAGGUACUUGAAUAGCCUCCCUUUUCAUACCCACUCUGAAUAUCGGUGCCUAGAGGCCCAUUUCCUCUGUGGACAGACGGACGACUUUCGGCUUGAGGAGAUGCAGUGGCAGGACCCUGGCGGAGAGCUGAAAUCUGAUGUGAAACUUGGCCUCGGCUGCCAGAUG